rnacentral:rRNA from 1 species
GAUGAACGCUGGCGGCGUGCCUAAUACAUGCAAGUCGAGCGAAUGGAUUAAGAGCUUGCUCUUAUGAAGUUAGCGGCGGACGGGUGAGUAACACGUGGGUAACCUGCCCAUAAGACUGGGAUAACUCCGGGAAACCGGGGCUAAUACCGGAUAACAUUUUGAACCGCAUGGUUCGAAAUUGAAAGGCGGCUUCGGCUGUCACUUAUGGAUGGACCCGCGUCGCAUUAGCUAGUUGGCGAGGUAACGGCUCACCAAGGCAACGAUGCGUAGCCGAACUGGGAGGGUGAUCGGCCACACCGGGACUGAGACACGGCCCAGACUCCUACGGGAGGCAGCAGUAGGGAAUCUUCCGCAAUGGACGAAAGUCUGACGGAGCAACGCCGCGUGAGUGAUGAAGGCUUUCGGGUCGUAAAACUCUGUUGUUAGGGAAGAACAAGUGCUAGUUGAAUAAGCUGGCACCUUGACGGUACCUAACCAGAAAGCCACGGCUAACUACGUGCCAGCCGCCGCAGUAA